rnacentral:rRNA from 1 species
UGAGGGAAUAUUUGGGUCAAUGGGCGUAAGCCUGAACCAGCCAAGUCGCGUGAGGGAUGAAGGUUCUAUGGAUCGUAAACCUCUUUUAUAAGGGAAUAAAGUGCGGGACGUGUCCCGUUUUGUAUGUACCUUAUGAAUAAGGAUCGGCUAACUCCGUGCCAGCAGCCGCGGUAAUACGGAGGAUCCGAGCGCUAUCCGGAUUUAUUGGGUUUAAAGGGUGCGCAGGCGGCGCGCCAAGUCAGCGGUCAAAGUUCCGGGCUCAACCCGGUGUCGCCGUUGAAACUGGCGUGCUCGAGUGCGUGCGAGGAAGGCGGAAUGCGUUGUGUAGCGGUGAAAUGCAUAGAUAUGACGCAGAACUCCGAUUGCGAAGGCAGCUUUCCAGCGCGCUACUGACGCUGAGGCACGAAAGCGUGGGGAUCGAACAGGAUUAGAUACCCUGGUAGU